CCUACGGGUGGCUGCAGUGGGGAAUAUUGGACAAUGGGCGGAAGCCUGAUCCAGCAAUACCGCGUGUGUGAAGAAGGCCUGAGGGUUGUAAAGCACUUUCAAUAGGAAGGAAUACCUAUCCAUUAAUACUGGGUAGACUGACAUUACCUAUACAAGAAGCACCGGCUAACUCCGUGCCAGCAGCCGCGGUAAUACGGAGGGUGCAAGCGUUAAUCGGAAGCGCGGGGCGUAGAGCGUUUAAGUCAGGUGUGAAAGCCCCGGGCUUAACCUGGGAAUGGCAUUUGAUACUGGCGAGCUAGAGUUGAGUAGAGGGGAGUGGAAUUUCAGGUGUAGCGGUGAAAUGCGUAGAGAUCUGAAGGAACACCAGUGGCGAAGGCGACUCCCUGGACUCAAACUGACGCUGAGGUACGAAAGCGUGGGUAGCAAACAGGAUUAGAUACCCUAGUAGUC
rnacentral:rRNA from 1 species